UACGAAGGGGGCUAGCGUUGCUCGGAAUCACUGGGCGUAAAGCGCACGUAGGCGGAUUGUUAAGUCAGGGGUGAAAUCCUGGAGCUCAACUCCAGAACUGCCUUUGAUACUGGCGAUCUUGAGUCCGGGAGAGGUGAGUGGAACUGCGAGUGUAGAGGUGAAAUUCGUAGAUAUUCGCAAGAACACCAGUGGCGAAGGCGGCUCACUGGCCCGGUACUGACGCUGAGGUGCGAAAGCGUGGGGAUCAAACAGG
rnacentral:rRNA from 1 species